rnacentral:lncRNA from 1 species
AAUAAAUAUCGCUAUCCACGUGCACCGGAUAAAUUAAUAUCCAAUGGAUAACCCGGUUUGUUUUGCCAACACGUAUCCAUUGGAUAGUGACUUAUCAGUCAGAUAGCGUUAUCCAUUCUUUGAACAACUGGGUCCAGUUCUGGGUCCAGAGUAUUCAAAAUCGUGAAAUUUGGUUCAAAGAGGAUAUAGGUUCAGAGAGUAAAGAUGCUUCCCGCCCUCCAGCUAUUUAUGUUUACGUAAAUAUUUUUCCACCUCGCAGCGUGCGAAAGUUUCAAUAGGUUUUACCCACACCAGACAGAAAUGUCAGUUUUUCGAACCGAAGCAUAUUUCCCUGGGGAGAUCUUGACUGAAAUAUUUUAAACUUUGUUUUCAUGCGAAAAAUAACAAUUUCUUGAGAUGUAGAAAUGUCGACGCAGUUGGAAUAUGAAAUGAAAUGUUGUAAUUCUCUUUAAUCACAUCUCCAGGAUGCGUUCAGCGGCUGCCAGAUCCUGCCAUGCUCACACAAGGUUCACAGGGAGUGCGCCAUUGCAAUGAUACAAAACGGCGUUCGCAAUUGCCCAAUUUGUCGUCAUCCGCUGUACAGUCAGUCAGCAAGCACCGGGUAAAAUGGUUCCAAUGGAAAACAGGGACCUUUUGCAUUAUGAUAUUAUUACGACUGGCAGGAGAGCCUCUUUACGGUAAACGAUUCUCGUUUGGAUAACACCUUAAUCAAAUUGUAGUUUUAGCUUUUUUAAAAGCUCUAAUUUUGUUGCACUGACUUAAUUAGGAAACGUAACCAAAUGAAAGGAAUCUUUUAUUGUUAUUACAUUUUAGCUAGUAGUACCCAUAUUUUUAAAAUUUUGUAUUCCUUGCCAGUCCAGGAGUGCCUAAAAUCUCGUGUUCGUUUAUACAAAAAGGCAUUUGGAAAAUUUAGGGGUUCAUCAUAGCGAACCAGUGUUCGCGUUGUAGAUAUCUCAGUUGUAUAUAAACGACUACAACUUCAACCUAUAAACGAGUUGUGUAAUUUGUGAUAGGUAAUUGAUAUUGUUUUAGCCUGUUAAUAUGCACACGGAACGUCAAUAUCAGAUCAGCAAAAAUUUUGAACAAUUUUAAAAGCAUCAUUCGAAAGUUUGAUGUUAGCUCUCUGCUGGACGACGGAAGCAUGCGUUGUUCUUGCUGCUCAUCUAUGUAGUUAGUUAUUAAUAAUUUAUUAGGUGAUAACACUAUGAAAACAUUAUCAACAGAUUAUGUCUUAGUUUUAAUUUUAACUGUUACUAGAUCUUAUUUCAAUAUAUUUUAUCUUAUAUUUUAGUCUCCCCAAUUAGGAGAGCACUUGUGCUCGGCUAUUAAGACUUGAGACGUAGAUAAAGUUGUCAUUUAUUCAUUCAUAGCUAGUUUUAAUAGAAAUAGAUUACAAGUAAGUCGUAAAGACGGUGUAUGACUUAAUCAUAGUUCCGUGAACAGCUUAAAGCCGAUUGUAUGUACAUAUUGAAAACUUGGAGCACGAAAACCGUCACAGGAUAUUCGGUUUGGUUUACAGUGAAUUAGUUCAGGUGUACAAUAAAACAACAGAAAAAAAAGUGUAUGAUCGGACCAAUUUAUUGUCUAGAAAAUGCCACUUUAAUUAUUGAUACUGUAUGAUAUAAAAUAAAUUUAGAGUGGUGUGCUAGGAAUCGAGUCGCACUCUGCAAACCAACUGGUACGCCCUCAAGUUAGUUGAACAAGAAAUAAAAGAGACAAAAAUGCAAGAAAAAAAGAAACAAAAAAAUCGUUAAAAAUCAUUAAAAAAAAGUGUUAAAAGGAUAGAAAAAACACAUUAGAAAUUAAAACCCUCAAUAGGAGUAGGACGCCGCCAUUUGAAAGUGGCGAGCUGUGUACAGAUAAAAUGUCAUUGAAGUAUAUAAAACCGUUUUAAAGUAUAUGAAAGUCCCUUAAACUUAAGUAGUAAGAAAUAAAAAAAAAUCGAGGUAAAAGGGAAAAAAAAUGCUCAAAAAAAUUGUAAAAGGAUCUAAAAAGAACGUUACAAAUUAAAGACUACAAUAUGAGUGGGAGGCCGGCCACCACUUUGAAAGUUGGUAGCUGUGCAUGGCUGUAGAGUUAAAAAUAUCAUCAAAGUGUUCAAGCCAUUUUGAAUUUUUCGAGAUCGUUUAAGUCUGCAAAUGACGAAAAUUCAAUGAUGAAAGCUCUCUGAAAUCCGAAGUGACAGGACAAAAGAAUUGACCAAGAGUUAACAUCAUAAACAUAUGAUGUGCUUUCCGUAUAUACAACAUCAGUUUUAAAACCGGAAAAAAAAUUUAAAAAUGCUUGCAGUACAACGAUAGUUCGAUCGAUGUGACAGCAGUGAUUAUAUUCUAAACUUCAUUUUAUGCUUAAUGACGACCAGUACUUACUCUAAGUAGGUAGGUUAGCUGUGCUAUUUUGAGUAGUGUAGUAUUUAGUAGUAGUCAAAAAAAGAAAACUUCAUUUUAUGCUAGUAGAUGGAUAGGGUUGUUUAAAAGAUACUGGUAGUAAUUUUUAAUCCAUGAGAUUUUCGUGUCUAACUUGUUUUAGCUCUUAACACGUAUUCACAUAGGUAGCUUGGUGAAGGUUCUCUUUUUUUUUAAACAAAUUUUAAGGUACGAUUAAUAACUAAAAUAUUAGAGAUUUUUAAGUAGGUCUAAUAGUCAAGAUGUUAUCGCAAACUUCGCUGGAAUUCCAAAUUAAUUAAGUUGGCAAUGAAAAUCAGAGUGAAAAACAAGUUUUCAAUAUUGAGGACGGACCAAUACAUUUACUGAAUUGCUCCAUGCCAUAUCACCGUUCCCGCUCCUGAGAGACAGGAGGCACAUUAAGACAUUCCCAGCAGAACUUAAUUAAAUUUUGAUAGAAUCGAGUGAGGUUUGCGAUAGCUGUUUCUCAACAUAUACGUAUUUUUCGGGUUGGGCCAUUAGGGAUCAGGGAGAAGGGGGAGCCAUUUCUUACUUAAAUUCGCUCAAGGCAACAUUAUCCAGAGCAAAAUUCCGUGGGCAGUUUAUCAACAAGAAUAGAUUUAAGUGCAGUGCUUGCGCGUUUCAAAAAACAAAAACAGAACCUAGCACAACUUGUACCCAAGCUGGAAAACAUUCCUACCUUGCAAACCUUUCUCUCCUUGAUUUCUGAAAAAUGCCCACCCUCCCCUUGCCCAAGACGGGCCCACUAUGGUGAUCUAUUAAUAGUUUUAGCUUGACUUGGGCUGAGAAUUUUUUAACUCUUUAGACAAUUUGUCCAACGACUUUUACUGAUUUUAUACCUCCUAUCGGCUUGAAUUGGAAAGGUUUUAACAAACUGUACGAUCGCGGUCUUUCAGUUAAAGGGAUCAGUUAUGAUCUUUUUGUGUGUCGAUUGCAGCAUUUUUAAUCUCCUGUUAAUACUUAGGUAUUUAAGGACUAAGGUAUUCCUUUACACAAGCCUCAUUGUUUUCCCUUGGCGUUCUUGCCUAUAAUAUACACAGCUGUGCUGUGAAAUAACACAAGAAACAAUUAAUCAGUCAGAAAUGUUGGACAAUUUGUUUAAAGAGCGCUAUAAUAAUAUAUUACAAUAGCGUUAAAGUAAUUGUUAGCGUUUAUAUUUUUACAAUUUAUGCUUAUUUGAUGAGAUAAUAGCAGUAGUAAUAAAUGAUUUUUAAUACUUGA